rnacentral:lncRNA from 1 species
UAAUUUAUUUUGACUUUGAGUGUGGAAGUGAGUCGUAAGGAGAGAAUUAUACUCGAGAUAAUAUAAAAUUCCUUUAAAUUGAGUUGUUUUAUAAACAUGAGGCUAUGUUACUUUAAUAACUUAAUAACAAUGUAUUAUGUUGCUAAAUUUUUAUUAUUAUUAUUUUUUGGUAUAAAUCAAGUAUAUUCUCCUUAAUUCCUCUAACCUUGUAUCACCAUAUUAGGUGACAAAUUCUCUUUGAGAUUUGAC